rnacentral:rRNA from 1 species
GAUGAACGCUGGCGGCGUGCCUAAUACAUGCAAGUCGAGCGAACAGAUGAGGAGCUUGCUCCUCUGACGUUAGCGGCGGACGGGUGAGUAACACGUGGAUAACCUACCUAUAAGACUGGGAUAACUUCGGGAAACCGGAGCUAAUACCGGAUAAUAUAUUGAACCGCAUGGUUCAAUAGUGAAAGACGGUUUUGCUGUCACUUAUAGAUGGAUCCGCGCCGCAUUAGCUAGUUGGUAAGGUAAAGGCUUACCAAGGCAACGAUGCGUAGCCGACCUGAGAGGGUGAUCGGCCACACUGGAACUGAGACACGGUCCAGACUCCUACGGGAGGCAGCAGUAGGGAAUCUUCCGCAAUGGGCGAAAGCCUGACGGAGCAACGCCGCGUGAGUGAUGAAGGUCUUCGGAUCGUAAAACUCUGUUAUUAGGGAAGAACAAAUGUGUAAGUAACUAUGCACGUCUUGACGGUACCUAAUCAGAAAGCCACGGCUAACUACGUG